rnacentral:rRNA from 1 species
UACGUAGGGGGCGAGCGUUAAUCGGAAUUACUGGGCGUAAAGCGUGCGCAGGCGGUUUUGUAAGCCAGAUGUGAAAUCCCCGGGCUUAACCUGGGAAUGGCAUUUGGGACUGCAAGGCUUGAGUGCGGCAGAGGAGACUGGAAUUCCUGGUGUAGCAGUGAAAUGCGUAGAUAUCAGGAGGAACACCGAUGGCGAAGGCAGGUCUCUGGGCUGACACUGACGCUCAUGCACGAAAGCGUGGGGAGCAAACAGG